ensembl:lncRNA
CUUUUAACCCUAGAAGGGACGAUGCAGAACUUUUCUUUGCAAAGUAGGGCAGGAUCACUUUCCUUGUGUCUGAUUCAACUCCUUCUGCCUGAAAUAAGCUCUUCUGAUCUUGUCUCAAGUGGGAACGAGUAACAGGAGACCGUGUAAGAAAACCUCCAACAUUUAAAGUGAUCUGCUGUCAAUGCAUCAUCUUUGUUUAUUACAGGAUGAGCAUCUUCAAUUUACUCAAACUCUUCUUUCCUCCCAGGAUGCUCUGAGUUCUGCCUGUGACUAUGGAGCGACAGUUUGUGAAUAGGGAUUCUGACCAUGAAUCUAAGGUAGUGCACGAUAGAUGAGGGGGUCUCAUUAAGGAAUACUUAGAAUCAUGCAUAUCCACUGGAAGAGCUCAAAGGUUUGGAAAUAUCUGUUGUCUUCACUUGUAGGGCACGAAGGGCACGCUCAUCCUACAAGCUCCGGGGGGAGAAUCCCUCCUACCUCUUGCAGCUUCUGCUGGGUCCAGGGGUUCUUGGGCCUGGAUCCCUGAUCCCCAGGGACUGCCUCUUGCUGCAUCACUCUGGUCUCUGCCCACAUCUUCUUGCAGCCUCCUCUUCUCUCUGUAUCUUCUUUUCUGUCCCUUAGAAGGACACCUAGGGCUUCCCUGGGGGCUCAGUCGGUAAGGAAUCUGCUUGCAACACAGGAGACCUGGGUUCGAUCCCUGGGUUGGGGAGAGCCCCUGGAGAAAGAAAUGGCUGCCCACUCCAGUAUUCUUGCCUGGGAAAUCCAAGGACAGGGAAGCCUGGUGGGCUAUCGUCCAUGGGACUGAAAAAAAGUUGGACAGGAUUGAGUGAUUAAAACAUAUCCUUAGAUUUGUGGAUCACCUGGAUAAUGAAGGACGAUCUCAUCUCAAGAUCCUUAACUUAAUUACACCUGCAGAGACCUUUUCCCGAAAUAUGCCAUUUGUAGGGUGGGCGUAUCUUUUGGGGCCACCCAUUCAAUCCACUCUAAGACCUCUUCACUUUUCAGCAUGGAGCUCUGUGUUAUGUCCUCUAUGAAGACUUUUUUUCCCAAGUUUUUUUUUUUUUUUUUAAAAAUUUCAUCCAUUUUUCAAACUUUUCAUUGAAUUUGUUACAUCCCCUGAACUGGAAGGUGAAGUCUUAGUCUUCACCUUUUUCACAAACCUCAUGGACUAUAGCCCAUCAAGCUUCCCUAUCCAUGGAUUUCCCAGGCAAGAAUACUGGAGUGGGUUGCCAUUUCCUUCUCCAGAGGAUCUUCCUGACCCAGGUCACCAGGAAAGUUCUCUCUGAAGAAUUCAUAUGCAUUUUUAUGUAAGAAGACAGAUUUAUAGUCAUGACUGAUGAUAUUAAAUAGCUCCACGAUGAAUGCCCUGCAAAGCUGGAUGUUGCAGAGGUUACUGAUGCUCUGCCUUGUGUACUGUCAUUCCUCAAAUCUAAGAUAUAGACAGUUGUAUGAUGCACUAAGACAUUCUACCUAAGAAAGAAAAAAUUCUGUUCAUUAGACAAUGGCAUACUAUCAAUUUUAAGAUACACUUUGGUUUUAUUUUAUGUGAAGGAGUGUGCAGCUAAUGAAAUGCAGCAUAGCCUAGAAAAAGUCAAUGUGAAUCAUGAAAGUAUUAAAAGUUUAGUAUAAAGAAUUUCUAAAGUGACAGUGGUUGUUUUGCAAGAAGAGACUCUUCAGAGUAGAUAUAUUCAGUAUUGGGCUUCUAAGAUAGCACUAGUGGUAAAGAACCCACUUGCCAGUGCAGGAGAUGGAAGAGACAAGGGUUGUUGGGUCUCUGGAUUGGGAAAAUCCCCUGGAAGGAGGGCAUGGCAACCCACUUCAGUAUUCUUGCCUGGAGAAUCCCGUGGACAGAGGAGCCUGGUGGGCUACAGUCCAUGGGGUCACAAAGAGUUGGACAUCACUAAGCGACUAAGGACAGCACAAAACACAGGGGCUUCAAGAUCCAGCAACAAUUAUUCCUAUGUUUUUUUUUUGCAAAGAAAGUUUUUAGAUCCAGGGCAAGAUUCAAGGGUAUAAUCCUAUAAAUUGCAAAACUCUUAGGCUUGUUUAUGUGCAUGACCAAAAAAAAUUAUGAACAGUGUUUUGGACGUAGGAGAGACUCAAUAAAUAUUUGCCUAACUGAAUUACAGUUUCAACAUCUUCUGCAGCCCCAUCUGUGCUAAUGUCAAGGUUCAGUGCUAAAAGCAUUUUUGCAUUUUCUCAGGAGCAAGCUUUAACUACCUAGUGAUGCAUUCAGUUCACCUUCUUACAUAAUCCAGUGUUCUGUUCUAUUUGCAUGGAAUACAAAAGAAGACCAACAGGUAAUGUUUACAUAAAACAUUAAAGUUGCUUAAAGAGGCUCCCAUGAAAACACAUCCUGCAGAGGUUUCUCCACACCAGUCCUCAUUAAAGCGUUCAUGUUUACCAAGCGUGAUCAUCCAAAAGCGUUUCUGUACCUAAUUUAGCUUUCUAAUCUCCCUCUUUUAAAAAUAUUGCUGACUCACAGUGAACAAAGCUCUUGGACAGCACAAUAGGACUGUUGAGGGCACUAUCUUGGCCCCCAGAACCUCUGGGCAGUUGAGGAACCCCACCUUCUUAUUGAGAGCCAGAGUCCAUGGACAGUUUUGAUUAGAACCUGGCAUUGCUUUCUGAGAAAACAGAAGAAUGAAACUUGGAUCUGCUUGCAUUUUUUAGUGUCUUGAGAUUUCUGCCUCCUUGCUAUCAAUAAUAGCACCCCACCCUCUUUCAAAAGUACUGCUGACUCACGGUGAACAAAGAUUUUUAGAGCAGUAUAGAGGGAUGGAAGCACAGCCCUGGAUGGCUGCACAGACUCUGAGCCAAUAGGCUCCCUCUUUUGGUCCCACUGGAUGGAAAGGAGCUCCCAAAAUUAGGGCUGUUACUUAAAAAAUUAUUCUAUUUCUUGCAUCUCUCUUCCACUGUUUCCAUGACCAGUAUGUGUUUUCCUAGGAGGGAGGAGUGGGGCCACUGACCAAGGGUCUCUUGGUGCACUUAGGUUUUUAAGAUUUAUCAUAAGGUGUGUCUGUACUUGGUGUAGAAACCAGAUGAGAUAAAGGCAAUUAACAAAUUGCAGUCCUAGAAGUAGCAAAUAUUACCCCGAAAAUGGCAGGAGGGAGGGGUACAUUGCCUGUAAAUAAUGUAUUUAGAUAAUUGAGGGUCAGAAAGCGUAGAUCUUUCAUCUUCCCUCCCUCCCUCAGCUGCCCACAGAGGCAGAGACCUAUGGCCAUAGUAAGGGUUGUUUAGGGAGAGCAGAUUAGAAAUUGUGUAUGCCUCUGUGUGUGUGUGUGUGUGUGUGUGUGUGUGUGUGUAGUUGUGUUCAGCAGAAUCUUUCCUUGUGCAAAUAUAUUCCUGUGUAUAAACUUUUUUUUCAAAUAACUAUAAGGCCUCUGAGAGCCUACAGCUGGAAGUGCGUGGUGGUCCCCUAUAGGAAUGUUCAGUCAGGUUCCACCUUGUUGUCCUCCUGAGGGCUGAGCUCACUGUCCCACUGAUGCCAGCGGUGAGGCCUCCUGCAGGAAACCACCCAGCUCCUGUGCUCAGGGGCCGUUGGUCUACCUGGCUCAAAUGCUUGCACUGAACUGAAACUUUUCACCAUAACAAGCACCAGGUUACGAGAGACUCUGAGAAACACUCAGAGUAAAGAAGAAACAGAUUUUGUGGUAAAACAAAGCUUUGGUUCACUCAGGUAAAGGCUGGUUCCUUCAACCUUGUCACUACCCAGCCCCUUCCAUGACAUUCGCCAGGCCGUCCACCCACCUAGAAUUCCUCCUGUUGUGGGGGAGAACCUGCUUGGCCUCUUUUCCAGGUUCUGAUUCAUGCGCAUGCCCUUCUCCCCUGUCUCCUUACUUAUGCGUCUCCCCCGAGGCUGUUCCCCAGGCUGGCCUCUGGCAUGGAGGUUUUUCUCCUGGAUUUGGCAGCAAGUCUGUGGAGGUCACUCUGUACCAUUUAAUCCUGCAUUGCGGGUUCCUGCCAAUGGAGAGGACAAGCUUGUGCUCCCAGUCUCUUCUUCCUGUAGGUUUUUCCUUCCAACGUCCCCAAGGUGCAAGAGAGUGGGGGUUACAGAGUUGCCCUCCCACAGCACUUCAAAAUCUAGGUCCUGGAUGGUGGGGCGUGGGAGUGGGGAGGCUGAAGAGGGAGGGGACAUAUGUAUACACAUCCCGAUUCAUGGUAUAGUAGAAACCAACACAAGAUUGUAAAGAAAUUACCCUCCAGUUAAAACAAACAGGGGCAUCACCACUGUUUGGCACCAAUGAAUGAUAUCACUGACUCAAUGGACUUGAGUUUGAGGAAACUCCAGGAGAUAGUGAAGGAGAGGGAAGCCUGGUGUGCUGCCGUCCAUGGGGUUGCAAAGAGUUGGACACGACUUAGUGACUGAACAAAAACAAAAAACCAAACAAAAUCUAUGUCCUUCUUUCAGAGAAGAUGGUUGUCAAGUGCCAGGGCAAGAUCUGAGAAUAUAGCCCUGCAAAAGCAAAUUUCAAAACUAUUAGGCUUGUUCUUGUGUGCACAACCUGGGGAAAAAAAUAGCAAGGGUGUUUGCUGUUAAGACAGUUUCAUUGUUUACCUAACUGAAUUCUAGUGAGGAUACUUAAGCCACAGAAAUGUUGCUAAUCCCAACGUUUGGCAAAGGUGACCUGAAUACUGUGAAUGCUGAAGAAGUCUUGCAUUUCCCCAGGAGCAACUUUUACCACAGCCUAGUUCUCCUACUCUGGUCACUGUCUUCAGUUCAGUCACUCAGUUGUGUCCGACUCUUUGUGACCCCAUGGACUGCCACAUGCUAGGCCUCCCUGUCCAUCACCAACUCCCGGAGCUUGCUCAAACUCAUGUCCAUCGAGAUGGUGAUGCUAUCCAACCAUCUCAUUCUCUGUCGUCCCCUGUUCCUCUUGCCUUUAAUCUUCCCCAGCAUCAGGGUCUUUUCCGGUGAGUCAGUUCUUUGCAUCAGAUGGCCAAAGUAUUGGUCACUGUCAAGUUCACAUAACCCUGUGUCCUGGCUUUACUGAGUGGAGCACAGAGGAGGGCUAUAUUUCAUCAAUACCAAAUUUUGGGCCCUGAACCAGGACGAGCUCAGCUGAUCGAUGUUACCCUGCUGGCCCUCUUUUUAUUGGUUAGCCAAGAUAAAGUUUUGUCAGUUUUGCAAAUUUUUCUUAAAGUACUCGAGCAUUAUCUUUGAAAUAUAAACAUCAGAGAAAAGAAGUUCCUAUUUCUUUGGGUACCUUGAUCCAAACAAUAAUUGCCUGUUGCCACAGAGGCUUCAUUUUUCCUUGGGAUAAAGGCAAUUAACUAGCUCAGAUGGCUGCCCCAAUGACCGGUCAGUUUAGGAUUAAACUAUGAAAUAAGGCAUCCCAAAUGUUGCAUUAUCUCAUCUGAGGACAAAGUUAUCAUGUAUCUUGAGACCGCAUCUGCUGAAUAUAUAAAAUAUAUAUCAGAAUAUUUCAGAAUAUAUGUCUGAAUAUAUAAAAGGAAGAGAUUCUAUCCUGUCUUUAUAAUCUCAUUAGCAAAUUAUUUUAGUGGUCACUGCAGCUUGGUUUAAUGCAUACUCAAUAACAAAACCAUUUCUUUUCUACAUAUGUGGAGAGGAAUUUCCUGGGUUAGUCUGAGAUUUUCUUUAUAACUUUCCCUCAAACAUGACUGUGGAGAAGUUUGACUAUCAGUGUUCCAUGAGAGGUAAGAGAAGAUUGCCAUUGGAUAUCACUAUGGGCUCAGAAUUUCCACCUUUGGUGAAAUAAUAAAGGACACAGAACCAUCUCCUUCCUGAGUCCUCCCUAGGGUGGGCGCUGUCCAGUUAUGCCUGCUGACAUGGGCAUGGGAACUCUUCUCUCCUUCCUGUGUUCAUCUCACUAAGGGAGUAAUGCCAGCCUUGGACCCCAGAAGCACUGGGCAGUUGAGGAACCCCACCUUCCUAUCGAGAGGCAAUGUUCAUGGACAUUUUCAGUUAAUACCUGGCAUUGCAUUCUGAGAAAACAGAAGAGUGGAACUUGGACUUGCCUGUGUUUUUUAGUACUUUGAAAUUUCUGCCUCCUUGCUGCCAAAAAUAUCACCCCACCCUCUUUCAAAAAUAUUGCUGACUCACAGUGAACAAAGAUUUUUAGAGCUCAGUAGAAGUGAUGGAAGCACAGUUCUGGGAUGUCUGUACAGGCUCUGAGCCAACAGUUUCUCAUCUGGUCCCACUAGAUGGAAACAAGCUCACAAAAUGAGGACUAUUAUUUUAAAAAUCAUUCUAUUUCUUGGAUCUCUCUUGCAGUGUUUUCACAACCAGUGUCCAGCUUCCCAGAAGGCAGGGGUGGGGCCACUGACCAAGGGUCUCUCUUGCACUUAGGUUUUUAAGGUUUAUCAUAAAGUGUGUCUGCAUUUAGCAUGAGAACCAGAUGAAAUAAAGGCAGUUAACAAAUUUCAGUCCUUGAAGUAGCACAUAUUACCCCAAAAAUGACACGAAGGAGGGGUGCACCACCUGUAUAUAUGUAUUUAGAUAGUUGAGGGUCAGAAAGGGUAGAUCCUUCAUCAUCUUUCCCUCCCCCAGCUGUGCACAGAGGCAAAGACCUAUGGCCAUAGUAAGGGCUGGUUAGGGAGCACAGAUUGGAAAUUGUGUGUGUGUGUGUGUGUGUGUGUGUGUGAGAGAGAGAGAGAGAGAGAGAGAGAGAGAGAGAGAGAAAGAGUUAAGAAUCGUCCUUGUGCAAAUAUAUUUCUGUGUAUAAGCAUUGUGUUUUUUUUUUUUUAAUAAGUAUAACACUUCUGAGGCCCUACAGUUGGAAAUGUGUGAUGGUCCCUUAAAAGGACAUUCAGUCAGGGUCCACCUCAUCCUCCUGAGGGCUGGGUUCACUGUCCCACAGAUGUCAACAUUGAGACCUCCUGCAGGAAAGCGACUGGUUGCUGUGCUCAGGGGCCAUCGAUCCACCGAGCUGAAACUCCUGCACUGAACUGAGACUUUCCACCUUGAAAAAUGAAAGUGUUGGUUGCUCAGUCAUGUCUCUUUGCAACCCCAUGGACUGUAAACUGCCAGGCUCUCCUGUCCAUGGGAUUUUCCAGGCAACUAUACUGGAGUGGGUAGCCAUUCCCUUCUCCAGGGGAUUUUCCCGACCCAGGGAUCAAACCUGCAUCUCCUGCAUUGGCAGGUGGGUUCUUUACCAUCUGAACCACUGGGGAAGCCCCUUUCCACCAUAACAAGCACCAGAAUAUGAGAGUCUUUGAGAAACACUCAGAGUGAAGAUGAGAUAAAGAAGACUUUCCUUUAAAGACAGUUUUAUUUGUGGUAAAAUAAAACUUUUGUUCAUUCAGGUAGAGUUUGAUUCUUUCAAACUUUUUACCACCCAGUGCCUUCCUGUGACUUCCACAAGGGCGUCCACCCACCCAGAAUUCCCUGUGUUGUUGAGGAAAACCAGCUCCGUGUCUUUUGCAAGUUCUUCAACUUGGCCACUUAUUUUAUUGAAGUUUGCAAACUGGGAGGACACUAGAGUUUGCUGUUGAGGUGGAGGACACAGUCUUGUAAAACCUGAUAAUGGCAAUCAUAUUCCUUUUCCUUAUAACAUUCUAUUGGUUAGAAGCAAGUCAUAAGUACUACCCAUCCUCAAGGAGAGGGUAUUUCACAAAGUCAUGACUAUCAGUCAAUGAAAUUGGGUAUCAUAGCGGGUGUCUCCCUGUGUGCCCAGUACCCCUCCUGUGGACCAGGAGUUGCUUGAGAGCAUCCGUCUCAGUGGCGGCCUUUGAGAAACUUUAGAGGAGAGAUAUGUAUGAAGAAAAGGUACAUUUCUUCUCAAUUACAAAGGGAAGAUGGCUGCUGAAAACUGUUAGCCAUAGGUGUGAUAGUAAUCUCCAUAUGUAUUUCAGGAUACUGUUUAAAUGCAAGUUUUGUGAGACCUUUCAAAAGAGGCAGGGAACAUGAGAGCCUGAUGUGACUUUACCAGGCAAGAGGCUAAUUUAUUCUCUUUUACUGACAAUGUCCCUCAGCUAGUGAAUCAGGAAGGCAGGAAGAAACUGUACCUCUGCUUUCAACAAAGCAUUUAGGUCAAAAUUCAGAUAAACUUUGCAAGGGGUCCUAAACAAAUGUGAUGUACUCAAGGCUAUCAACACUGAUGGAGAGAAUUUUCUCAUGACCUGACACAGAACUUACUCCUAAUUUUUAACAGUGGAAAUGUAAAGGGCAUACUCAUCAAAUUUAGAGCUGAUAGAGGUUUGGACAGAGAAGGCAAUGGCACCCCACUCCAGUACUCUUGCCUGGAAAAUCCCAUGGGCUGAGGAGCCUGGUAGGCUGCAGUCCAUGGGGUCAUGAAGAGUCAGACACGAAUGAGCUACUUGACUUUGACUUUUCACUUUCAUGCACUGGAGAAGGAAAUGGCCACCCACUCCAGUGUUCUUGCCUGGAGAAUCCCAGGGACUGGGGAACCUGGUGGGCUGCUGUCUAUGGGGUCGCAGAGAGUCAAACACGACUGAAGCGACUUAGCAGCAGCAGCAGCAGCAGUGACAGCAGAGGGUUGGAAUAAAUACUAACUAUAUGGGAUAACAGAAUCAAGGCAGAAUUCUGACCUUAACCACCUAGAGGGAUGGGUUGAUAAUAAUAAGAUAAAUGCAGUGUUAUGUUCUGUGGUUUGCUCUAAGAUGUCAAACUGUACAAAUACUGGGUCGGGAAGCAUGAUAUGAUUGUAACAUGAAGCAACAGUCCUUAGCGGUUUUAUCUAGCACAAGCUCCUUAUAAGUAUAUUUUCACUUACGGGGAUUUUUGACCUGCAUUAAUAGGGGCUAUAAUAAUAUGAGGGCCCACAAGAGAAAGUGAUUAACCUCACCUGGCAAGGUUAUAGGCAUUGUAAAGAAUAUGGGCUGGAGCUCAUGCUUUUAGGGAUAAGUAUUCACAGUGCUGAUGGAAACCAGGUAGGAAUAGAGCAGGUUCUUCUAGGAGGAGGUGAUAGCUGAGACAGAGGCAUCUCAGAGAUCAAUGGAAAGACUUUUCUAGGGAAGGGUGAACACAACUAGGAGGGGAAGGGUGUGGGGGUGGGAGAAGCAGGGGCUGUGACUGAUCAGGGAGAGCUCUUUCCUGAGGUCAGCAGAGCAUUGGAGGGGCCUGACAGGGAGGUUGCUCUCCCCACCAACUUGCUUAAGUUCAAGGCUGUGCCAAAUUCUAGAGGGACGUGUGGAAGGAAAAACCUGUGUAAAGUUUGAUCAAGUGCAGGUAGACUGUCCAGAUGGUCCAACUAUCUCUUUAUCUGGAAAACAAGAAUUUUUCUGUCUAAAGCAAUUCCCUUAGAAAUGUUUGGGAUUGACGCAUGGCAAGCCUUUCUUUGCUUAUGUGGACAGAGAAGGAGAAGGUGUGGGAAGGAGAGGUGAGAACUCAGCAGAGGGUUCCAGGCUGGUUCAGCUGGAACCUGAGGACAGAUACGGCUUCCCUGUCCUCUCCUCUUGUCCCCAUCCAGCUGGAAAGUUCUUCAGUCCCCAGGGGGAGGCCGGCUCCUUGGGGGAGAGGUUAAUAUGAUUCUUUCUUCCUUUCAGGUGUUUGACUUUAAACUGCCUGCAGAAAACAUAUUCAGAGAAGAGGGAACAAGAAUUAGUAAUAAAAUGAUUUAGUUUGCAAUCUAAAUCUUCAUUUUAGUAAUGCAGAUUACUGAAUAACCAGUGUUUUACUAAACUAUAAAUUAAGAAAAUAAUAAUCCCAUUUAUGUUGUAUGAUAAUUCAAGUGUAUGUGGUAUCUCUUCAAUAGAUUAGAAGUUCCUUACUGGAGACACCCUGUAUUUUAGGGGUGCUGAAUAUAUAUAUUUUUUGAAUGGAUGCAUGAAAAAGAGCAGCAAAUUCCGUAACUGUGAUCCCUCUCAUCAUCUAGGGUCAAAACUUCUACUUGGGGCUGAAACGAUUUCCAGUUAGCCCUAGGUCUUGCACCUUCUUAUCUAUUGUAACCUGAGUCAAACUAUCUGUCACUGUGGAGUUAAUAUUACGUAGAAUGUUGGGACUGGACAUGUAGGUGCCGUGUGCACAUGGAGCAGAUACCUGCAUGUGUGCUUGUCAGGGGAGAUGGCAGGACAUGGUUGUAAAUUUAGAGUUUUUAGCCUGUUCCUACUGCAUCCAGAUAAAGCCUGUCUUCGACAACAUAACAGAGUUAAUAAAUGAAUCCACCUCUUUCUCUUCCAGUGCCGUCGGUCACCCUGAGUACUGAUUCUCUGAAGAAUAUUGACUCAGCUCUCACUUGGUUCUUCAAAAAUUCUGGUUUCUAGGGCUGUGAAGAGGGUUUUUGUAUAUAGAGGAAGUGCUUAAAUGAAGUGUCUGAACUUCUGGAAGCUUGCCUUUCUUAUUAAAAAAAACAUUUUAUGAAAUAAAAGACUUCAAAGUAAAAAUAUUCAUUUUUUUCUGAUGAUUAAAAUAAUACAGGUAAAUUAUGAAAAUUUGGAAAGUAGAAGGGAAAGGAUAGAAAAUGAAGAUAAGCUGUGAUUAAUCCAUGUAAUAAUACUUAACUUUAGUGCAAACUAUGGGAGAUGGUGAAGGACGGGGAAGCCUGGCAUGCUGCAGUCCAUGGGGGUGCAAAGAGCCGGACACAACUGAGUGACUGAACAACAACAAAACUUUGGUGCAGUUUCCUUAUGCUUUUCUUAGAUAAAUGUGUAUGUGUGUGUGUUUAUUUACAAAUAGAGAUAAUCUUCAAUUCAUGGGUUGUAUACAUAUUCUUUUACUUAGCAUAAGUAUCUUGUUAAGCUAAAAAUAGGAUUUUAAAAAUGCAGUGUUGUAUUUUGCUUCCUGUAAAGCAGCACAUCUUACUCAUUUAUGUAGUUUCUUAUUUGUCUGCCCAUGUUCAGCAUUUUGAUGAGUCCUUACAUAUUUCGCUGUUCAUUCAUCAACACUUGAUUGAACAUUCUUUAGUAAGACAUUGUUUUAUCAAUAAAUAUCAAUAAGUAAAAUGAGAAAUGUCUUGAAUCAUUAGUCUAGUGGAGAAUGAACUGAAUGACGUCAGGAAAAUUUAGCUGUUAGAAAUGGGUAAGGGCCUGUUGAGAUAAUUGUGCACAGUCUCUCCCGUUUCUGUACAUUUGUUAGGCGGAGCCAUCAGUUACUCUUCAUCCCACAGUUUUCAUCUGUAUAAGAAACAGCCUUGAAACAUAGAGACAGUGGCUCCCUGCAUUCUCUGGAAUAGAAAAUGCUAAGUCCAGGAAGAAAGAGUAUUCAUGUAACAUGGAAGUAACAGCAAGUCGGCUGAUGAGGGUGGAGUUUAGUGAGGUGGGGAGACAGGAGUUGAAGAUAAGGCCAGAUAACCGGUGGGUCUAAGGGGUCUGUAUCAUGUAGGCUUUUCAAAGGACUUUACUGUGAGGGAAAUGGAGAACGAUAUUUUGGGUUUUGAGCAUAAGUUGCAUGAGCUGACCGACAUGCUUUUGAAAGGAUGACUCUGGUUGUUGAGAAGCAAAAGAGGAAAAAGAGCCCUCUUUUAUGGCUACAGGAAUCUAGGUGAGAGAUGACGUUGGCUUGGACCAUAGAAGGAGCAGUGAAUGGGUCAGAGGUUUUAGAAUAGGGAUAUAUUUUAGGGGCAGCAUUAACUAGACUGUUGAACAUGUUAGACAUACAGUGAGAGGUAAAGAGGAAUCAAAGUUGACUCCAGGUGUUUGUGGCUAAGGGGCAGGAGAUGGAGAUGCCAUUUUCUCAGGUGGAGACGAUGUGGGGGAGCACACUUUUGUGGGAAGAUUAGGAGUUCAAUUAUAGACAUGUAUCUUUGAGAUGCCUUUAGGUACCCAAGUGAAGAUGCAUGCAUACAGUUGGAAAUAGAAGUCUAUUAGAGGAAAAUUUCAGACAAUAUUUAUAUUUGUGACUUAUCAAAUUUAGUUGCCACCUAAUGUCAUGAACCCACUCCAGUACUCUUGCCUGGAAAAUCCCAUGGACUGAGGAGCCUGGUAGGCUGCAGUCCAUGAGGUCUCCAAGAGUCGGACACGACUGAGCAACUUCACUUUCAUUUUUCACUUUCAUGCAUUGGAGAAGGAAAUGGCAACCCACUCCAGUGUUCUUGCCUGGAGAAUCCCAGGGAUGGAGGAGUCUGGCAGGCAGCCAUCUAUGGGGCCGCACAGAAUCGGACACGAUUGAUGUGACUUAGCAGCAGCAGCAGCAAUGUCAUGAAAGUAGACAAUCAGAGAUAUAUUAAACAGUGAGUGGUGUAGACAGGGAAGUCAAGCUUCGUGAAGACCCAGCAUUAAGAAGGCAUUUUUUGUUUUAAGUGGAGGAAUCAGCAGAUGAGGCAGAGAAGAAGAGGUGAACGAGUUAGGAGGGGUUGUUCUAAGAAGGCACGUGAAGUAGAAGUUUGAAGGAAAAAAGAGUUCAAUGCUUCCAAGGGGACAGGUAAGAGAAGACUGAAACUGACCACUGGAUUGGGCAGUUAACCUUGGCGAGGUCAAGUGCAGCUUUGAUAGAGUGGUGAAGGCAAACCCUGAGUGGGGUGGUUUCAAGAAAUGGUGCCAAGUUUUCAAAGGCUUUUCUGUAAUGAGGAAAAGGAAUUUGGCAGUCGCUGAAGAUGAAAAUGGAAUCAAGAGAUGAGGUUCCCUAUUGGGGGAGUUGACCACCUGCCUCUGAGAUCAGAGGAACAGUCCCCAGAGAGAGGAAAACCUAUGAUGAAGCAGAUGGAGGUGGGAUGACUUGAAUCACAUCUGUGUUAGUUACUGUUGCUGCUCCAGCAAAUGACCAAAACCUUUGUAACCUGAAACACCACCAAUGUAUUAGUUUACAUUUAUGGAGGUCAGAAAUGCAAAAGCUGGUUCAAUGGGCUAAAAUCAAAGUGCCAGCAGGCCUGCAUUCUUUUCUGGAGGUUUCAGGGGAAAAUCCACUUUGUUGCCUCUUCCAGCUCCUAGAGAACACUUCAUUCUCCAUCUUGGAGACACUCCUGCCAUCUCAGAGAUAGCGCAUCAAAUCUUUGAUUCUCUUAUCUAAUCCUCCUAUAUUCCACCUCCUCUUCAACUACAACCCUCCCAGGUCCGAUGUAUAAGGACUUUGUGAUUACACCAGAGUGAUCCAGGUGCUCCAGGAACAUCUGCCAUCUCAUGGUUUUAAUCACUUUUGUUAAGUAGUUCCCUGACCAGAUUCAGAACCACUUCCCAUGCAGUGGAAGGACAGAGUCCUCAUUACUGGACCAACAGGAUAGUUCCAGGUUCAGAAAGUUUUUAGCCAUAAUUUCAUCACAUCCAUUUCUGUCCCUUUUCCUCUCUCUCUCCUCCUGAAACCCUUAUCCUGUGAUUGUUACUGUGUUCUAUUUGCUAGUUAGGGAAGCAUUCUUAUUACUGUUCUGAAUUCUGAUAAAUGAUUAUUUUGGUAAAGUAUUAAUCUCUGUAUCAUUAGCAGAUUUUUUCAUGUGUUUUUCUUACUGUUUCACUUGAAACAAAUUCCUCUGUUUUCUCAUUUUGCUGAACUUCCUCUGUCUCUAUGAAAUUAGUUGAAAAAGUUUCCUGUUCUAGUCUUGUAGUGGUGUCCUUGUGCAGAUGUGUCUCUAUGCAGUCUGUGUGCCCACAGGCUUUGGGGCAGAGCUGGAG